rnacentral:rRNA from 1 species
CAUGCAAGUCGAACGAAACCAAGGCUUCGGCCUGAAGUUUAGUGGCGCACGGGUGCGUAACGCGUGGGAAUCUGCCCUUAGGUACGGAAUAACUCAGAGAAAUUUGUGCUAAUACCGUAUGAUGUCGAAAGACCAAAGAUUUAUCGCCUAAGGAUGAGCCCGCGUAAGAUUAGCUAGUUGGUGAGGUAAAAGCUCACCAAGGCGACGAUCUUUAGCUGGUCUGAGAGGAUGAUCAGCCACACUGGGACUGAGACACGGCCCAGACUCCUACGGGAGGCAGCAGUGGGGAAUAUUGGACAAUGGGCGAAAGCCUGAUCCAGCCAUGCCGCGUGAGUGAUGAAGGCCUUAGGGUUGUAAAGCUCUUUUACCCGGGAUGAUAAUGACAGUACCGGGAGAAUAAGCUCCGGCCAACUCCGUGCCAGCAGCCGCGGUAAUACGGAGGGAGCUAGCGUUGUUCGGAAUUACUGGGCGUAAAGAGUACGUAGGCGGUUUUUUAAGUCAGAGGUGAAAUCCCGGAGCUUAACUCCGGAACUGCCUUUGAAACUGGAAAGCUAGAAUCAUGGAGAGGUUAGUGGAAUUCCGAGUGUAUAGGUGAAAUUCGUAGAUAUUCGGAAGAACACCAGUGGCGAAGGCUACUGACUGGACAUGUAUUGACACUGAGGUACGAAUGCGUGGGGAGCAUACAGGAUUAGAUACUCUGGUAGUCCACGCCGUACACGAUGAUAUCUAGUUGUUCGGGCACAACGUGCUUGAGUGACGCAGCUAACGCAUUACGUUAUCAGCUUGGUGAGUACGGUCGCAAGAUACAACUACAAUGAAUUGACGGGC